UACGGGGGGGGCAAGCGUUGUUCGGAAUUACUGGGCGUAAAGGGCUCGUAGGCGGCCAACUAAGUCAGACGUGAAAUCCCUCGGCUUAACCGGGGAACUGCGUCUGAUGCUGGUUGGCUUGAAUCCGGGAGAGGGAUGUGGAAUUCCAGGUGUAGCGGUGAAAUGCGUAGAUAUCUGGAGGAACACCGGUGGCGAAGGCGGCAUCCUGGACCGGUAUUGACGCUGAGGAGCGAAAGCCAGGGGAGCAAACGGG
rnacentral:rRNA from 1 species